AGCUAUAUAGCUCAGUUGGUAGAGCAUGACACUCAUCAUCUCAGGGUUGUGGGUUUGAGCCCCACAUUGGGUG
rnacentral:tRNA from 1 species